AUGCCACCACCAAAAUUCCAUGAUACCAGCAGCCCACUGAUGGCCACACAGUCAUCUGCAGAGGCCCACUGGGCCGUGCGGGUGGAGGAGAAGGCAAAGUUUGAUGGCAUCUUUGAAAGCCUUCUACCAGUCAAUGGACUACUCUCUGGAGACAAGGUCAAGCCGGUCCUCAUGAACUCAAAACUACCUCUGGAUGUGCUGGGCAGGGUAAGGGGCUGGGAUGGGUGCUUUCCCACCCUGCACUGCAAUAUGUUUGGCUGUUAACAGUCACCUUUCCCCCACCGUCAUGUACUGUACCAUCAGGUGCUCCCUGUAUAUCAGGACUGCUCUUCUGCCCUGGGAAGAUGCUGACACCCUUCCUUCCAUUCUAUGAUGGGAGGCGCAAAGGGAGAAGGCUACAUACAUGUACCUGCAACCAGAGAGCCUGUGCUGAGCCCAGCACACAUCCUUCUUUUCUUUGUGUGUUUGCAUCUUUCCAUUUGUUUGUUUGUUUGUUUGGGG
rnacentral:lncRNA from 1 species